rnacentral:rRNA from 1 species
GAUGAACGCUGGCGGCGUGCCUAAUACAUGCAAGUCAAGCGAACGGACGAGAAGCUUGCUUUUCUGAUGUUAGCGGCGGACGGGUGAGUAACACGUGGAUAACCUACCUAUAAGACUGGGAUAACUUCGGGAAACCGGAGCUAAUACCGGAUAAUAUUUUGAACCGCAUGGUUCAAAAGUGAAAGACGGUCUUGCUGUCACUUAUAGAUGGAUCCGCGCUGCAUUAGCUAGUUGGUAAGGUAACGGCUUACCAAGGCAACGAUGCAUAGCCGACCUGAGAGGGUGAUCGGCCACACUGGAACUGAGACACGGUCCAGACUCCUACGGGAGGCAGCAGUAGGGAAUCUUCCGCAAUGGGCGAGAGCCUGACGGAGCAACGCCGCGUGAGUGAUGAAGGUCUUCGGAUCGUAAAACUCUGUUAUUAGGGAAGAACAUAUGUGUAAGUAACUGUGCACAUCUUGACGGUACCUAAUCAGAAAGCCACGGCUAACUACGUG